rnacentral:rRNA from 1 species
AGUGAACGCUGGCGAUAGGCCUAACACAUGCAAGUCGAACGGCAGCACAGUAAGAGCUUGCUCUUACGGGUGGCGAGUGGCGGACGGGUGAGGAAUACAUCGGAAUCUACUUUUUCGUGGGGGAUAACGUAGGGAAACUUACGCUAAUACCGCAUACGACCUACGGGUGAAAGCAGGGGAUCUUCGGACCUUGCGCGAUUGAAUGAGCCGAUGUCGGAUUAGCUAGUUGGCGGGGUAAAGGCCCACCAAGGCGACGAUCCGUAGCUGGUCUGAGAGGAUGAUCAGCCACACUGGAACUGAGACACGGUCCAGACUCCUACGGGAGGCAGCAGUGGGGAAUAUUGGACAAUGGGCGCAAGCCUGAUCCAGCCAUACCGAGUGUGUGAAGAAGGCCUUCGGGUUGUAAAGCCCUUUUGUUGGGAAAGAAAAGCAGCAGGUUAAUACCCCGCUGUUCUGACGGUACCCAAAGAAUAAGCACCGGCUAACUUCGUG